CUUCUACCUCACACUCAUAUUCAUAUUUUUCUCUCACACCCUCUUCUCUUUCUUCCUCACUUUUCAACACCUUCAACAUCUUCAUUGGCUCCCAUUUACAUCAAGUUUGCAUCAAUAUUGUAUUUGUUCUUGUUUUUUUUACAAUAGUUAGGUGAUUGAAACUAAUUUUGGUGAAAAUGAAACUCAUUUUGUCAACUGAUUUUGGUUAUUCAAAUUGACUUUGCCUAGAAAUCUAAGUGAAUUGAUUCCACGUACGUGAACUCAGUUUGCGUAGAACCUACGUGAAUUCAGUUUGUGUAAGUGAACAUAGAUUCAGUUGCAACAUAUUUGAUUGUGUUUUGAUUAUGAUAUGGUUAUACAUAAAUGGUACGCACUAUGUUUAUUGAUAAAGUAGGUCGAGUUAUAAUCAAGAUACUGGUACUAAUGAGGGUCGUCGUGUUAGAUCAACCACUUCUGUACGAGCUCAACAUCUUGAGAAGCAGCAUGAAGUGCAAUGGGAGAGGCAGGUGCAACGAGAACAACAACGAUUACAAUAGCAACAACAAGCACAACAAGAGCGACAUUCCCAAAAGGAAGAGAAGACCCAACAUGAAGAGCAAACACAACAUGAGGUCCAACCAUAGACAAUAGAUGAAUUUGCACAGGUUGAUGGAUAUCUUGGUGGUCUGGUUGACAAGUAUGUCCUUAGAACAUUUGGUGAUCAUGUGGUCACUAGACUUUGGGAUGGAGUGGAUUGUGGGGAGCUAAGGGUAUUUAGCAAUGAAAAAAAUUGAAAGAAGUUGUGAUUGAACAUGAAGAGGUGAAACAACUAGUUAAGAGUUCGGGAUUAUAUUCAUUGCUAAAAUGCAGUUACAAAAUGAUCGACAAAUGGAUCAUAUCUUGUUUUGUAGAGAGGUGGCAUCGAGACACCAACUACUUCCAUCUUCCAAUUGGGAAGAUGAAGAUUACUCUGAAUGAUGUCUUCUCUCUUUUGUGUGUACCCAUCACCGGUGCAUUUUUUAGUGUCAAUGUAUUUAAUAAAGACGAUGGUGCAAAUUUAUUAGCUGAACUUCUUGGA